GUCCAACCCUCCCCUGCCCCAGGACCAACCACUUCCACCCCGCAACAUCAACCAACCACUUCAGUUCAAUUAGAGCUUUUCCACCGGUAACCAGGCAUACGCAGUCCACUCUGCCUAAACAGGUUUCUCGGUUGGACUCCUGCCUUGAGAUUUUCGAACUAAAAUUUCGUAUACAUUUCUCGUCUGUACCAACCGACCAGACGCAUAAAGGACCUCUGAAACGUCGGCUACACGGCGCUACAGCCCGGAAGA